rnacentral:rRNA from 1 species
AACCCUUGUCACUAGUUGCCAUCAUUUGGUUGGGCACUCUAGUGAGACUGCCGGUGACAAACCGGAGGAAGGUGGGGAUGACGUCAAGUCCUCAUGGCCCUUAUGGGUAGGGCUUCACACGUCAUACAAUGGUCGGUACAGAGGGUUGCCAAGCCGCGAGGUGGAGCCAAUCCCUUAAAGCCGAUCGUAGUCCGGAUCGUAGUCUGCAACUCGACUACGUGAAGUCGGAAUCGCUAGUAAUCGCAGAUCAGCAUGCUGCGGUGAAUACGUUCCCGGGUCUU